UCUCACAAAUCUUCUAGAAAAAACUUGCCAAACGGGCACUUCUCGAUCGGGACGAAACAGAAUCAGUUGGUUACGAGUCAAUUUUUCAAGCUGCAGGCAUUCGCUUGGACGAUGAUGAUGGGGCCAUGUACGUAAUGGUGGAUCAUACUCUUCUCAAAGCUCGACACGUUGGGAGUUAGCUUCCUCGAAAACCGCAAUUUUGCUUCAUGAAGCCUCGUCAGUCGUCACAAGCAACUCCCACUUCAAUUUUUGAUCGUUUUCUUUUCCUUCUCCCAAAUAAACGUCUGUAUCAAGAGAGAGAAGCCGCUGUUUAACCAUCAUUGGAGCCAUAGGUAAAACGCCCAAAGCAGGGAUGGGUCUGGAGUCUCCUGAUAGGAGAUGGGAGGAUAUCAAUGCUCCUCAGGAAGAGGCCAAUUCAACUGUCAUUGGAAAAUUAGACCUUAAUCUUGCAGUGAGUAGGGAAGAAGGGAUUGAGGGUUAUGGUCAUGAAAAUGAUGCAUGGAGUAAUAAACUUAAAGUGGAUUUGAACCACCAAGGGCAGCAUGAUUUCCUCUCAAUGCAUGUUGAUGUUAUGUGCGAGGGACUAGAAUCUCCUUGUAUGGAAUCUAGCUUACCACAGAAGACUGACCAAGAUCAGGGUGAGAUGAGUACAAGAAACAUUGCCUAUAAUCAGGGAAUGUUACCACCUUCACCUACAUCAACAAACAAACAUUACUAUGAGGAAAGGGAGGUGGUAUCUGGUAGUUAUUCUAAUAGAUCUUCCUCCCCAAUUGAGAUAGAAGCUUUCAGGGAUGAAAUGAGAAACAAAGAAUCUUGUAAAUCUCCUUUAGAAGUUGAUGUGCAUCAUCAGGGAGGAAUCCUUGAACAGGAAAAUUCUGAUCUAUGGAGGGGAAGUUCUCCUCUCCAUAAAAAAAAAAAGUUCUCUUCUCCAUGAUAAAAAGUUGGAGGAAAAAAUUUCCAGAAGUUUACAAUGUGAGAAAAAUGAAUCUGCUUGUGAGGAAAUGGAAAUGGGAAAUAACAAUCACCCCAUGGAAAGGUCUGUGUGCCCUGCAAAAAUGCAAAACAGCCCUGAUGAAACUGAGCAGGAUGUUUUUCAUGCAAGUAGAUUAUCUACUGAUAGCAGAAAAUUGGAGCUGCAUCACUCAGAUUUGUACUCUCCACAGAGAACAUCAGAAAGAUCAGUAUCACCUCUGAGGCAAAUGUCUAUCUCUCCCAAAAGGUCGACGCAUAUGGAACUAUCCCUGGUUCAAAAACCAAUAUCUCCACCACAGAAUAUUCAAGACCCAUUAUAUUCUACCAGACCUUCCAGGCAGAAAUGCUUCCCUCCUCUUGAAAGGUCUACUGCAGAUGGUAAAAGGAUUUCUUCCCAAGGGCAUUUAUCUCCAGCCAGAGGGAAUUUUGCUUCUCCAUGGAGGCAAUCUUCACAAGAUUCCCAAUGCAGGGAUGGAUGUUCUGAGAAAUGCCCAUCUAGAUCAUCAAGAGGUCACCAUUUACCAUCAGAUGAUAGACAACCAGGCAGGUCACAGUCACAAUCACCCAAUAGAUGUAGAUAUUCUUCUGCAUAUAGAAGAGACGAUUGUGAUCGAUCUCGAUCAAGGUCCUCACGUACAGGAGACCAUCAGAGAAGACCCCCAAGGAUGUAUUCCCCUAGACACAGAUCUCCUCCUUCAGGGUAUCAUUCUCGUCGUCGAUCUCCUAGAAGGAGACCUUGGUCACCACCUCCUAACCGGAGCACUGGAGUGGGAAGACCUGGAAAUAAUUUAUUUGUUGCAGGUUUUAGUUUUGUGACAACAGAAAGAGAUCUUGAAAGGAAGUUUUCAAGGUUUGGUCGUGUGAGAGAUGUUCGCAUUGUUCGGGAUAAGAGAACCUGGCUCUGUAGAGCAUGGAAUUUUGCCAACAAUGUCUGGUAGUGUGGCCUUAGAAUCCUCAAGGCCUUCUGAUGAUAAUGGUGGUGGUAGCUUUAUCAAAAACACAAGUUCAUUGGGAAGUGUUGAUAUUGGACCAGGCUCUCUGCUUGAUGGAUCAGAUCCUGGUGUCCUUGGGUCUAGCUAUCAAAAGGCACCAAGCCUUCAUUGCUGUUAUGGAUGGACUGAGGACUGGCGUUGGCUAAUUAGCAUCUGGACUGAUUCAAGAGGAGAGUUGCUUGAUAGCCAUAUAUUCCCUUUUGGUGGCAUUAGCAGUAAACAGGACACAAAGGGAUUACAAUGCCUUUUUGUUCAAGUUCUGCAAAGAUCCAAGAUAUUGUGAUAACUCGAAUCGGAUGUUUCUAUGAGCUUGAAUGCCAAGAAUGGCAGAAAGCCAUUUACACAGUUGGUGGAAAUGAAGUAAAAGAAGGCAGAAACCAAAAAGAAGUCACCAUGUUACGUUCCAAAUUUGUUUGUAGUAUAAAUCUGGGAUUGAUCCACUUAACUUGUUAUCCGAGGGAUCUAGGUACUCUAGAUUGGUCAAGAUACCAAUUUCACGAGGAAUACUCCCAGUGAACUGAUUGGAUUGGAGUUGAAGGUUACUUAGUUUAAUUUUUUCCACUUCCCAAACAAAUUUGGUUCAAUUCCCUUGUUAGUACAUUACUGUGUAAAUAGAGUUGUGAAAUAUGGGUGAGGUUAGCUAGAGAAAGAGGUAAGACACCAGAAAGUUGGUUCAUAGACAAGUCAAGGUAGGUAAACUUCGGCCAGUUUCUAAAGAAAUUAGAAUCUAUAAUACCAUCAGAAAUUACAAAUGUCCCAUCUACAUGCUAGCUGGCUCUUUUUGAUUACAAUGGUAACUGAAAACUAUGCAAAAUAUUUUCAAAAAGUCCUACUUAUCAACGCCUUGGAUUUUAAGAGAUUAAAUAUUUAAUAUGAAAAUGUAUCCAGCAGGCUAGUCAUUUAUUGUACAAAGCCAUAAUCUGAAUCUGUGACAGUUUUCUUCAUCACAUGGCAGAAGUUCAUAGGCUAACUUGAUAACCAUAAAAGAAACUAAAUGAUUAAGUUGCAGUUCUCACAGCAAGAAGGCUUCCACUGCCUGGAAAACCCUUUGUCAGUGGAAGUUCUUCGCUAGAUGUAGAUGGAAGUAAACCCUGCUUUUCAACCCACUGGCGAGCAGACAAGAUUAAAGAUACAGAGAGAGAGAGAUAGAGAGAAAGAGAGUUUGAGUACCUGAGAUGGAAGCCUAAAUCGCCAUAUUGGUCUCCGUUAAACCCUAAUAUUCGUCCUUCCCUCUGCGUUCUCUGAUAGCCUUAAUCGUCGUAUCUCUGCUAAAACCUAGAGUUCCCUCUUCGUUUUCCGACAGCUUAAAUCGUUGUAUUGAUCGAGUGGUCUCAGCUAAACCCUAGAUUUCAUCAUUUCCUCUUCUAGUUCAGGCGUUCUCCAGUCUCCACUUCUCUGUAUAAUCGAGUGAUUCUAUGCUUCUUGAUGGGUUCGAUCACCCAACCCACCCAAUCCAUUAAAUAAAUGGGUUCGACCCAUUAAUAAUUGGGUGAGUUGGGCGGGUUCAGCGGGUUGGGUAAAAAAUUGCCACCCCUAGAUAUGUGUAAUAAUAAAGGGAAGAGAAAUAGGGAAGAAAAUAGGCGUCCAAGAAUUAGGUGGGAAAACUUGAAAGGAGAAAAGCUAGCUCAAUUUAGAAAUAUAUUGAUAAUAGUAGGGAAUUGGAAUUUAGAUGGAAAGACUGAUGACAUUUGGCUUGAAAUGAUAAACGAUAUAAAGAAAGUAGCAAAGGAUGUCUUAGGAGAAUAUAAAAGCAAGUGGUAAAGUACUAAAGAAACUUGGUGGUGGAAUGAAGGGGUUCAAAAUAUAAUUAGACUAAAACGAGCAUGCUACAAAGAAUGACAAAAAGCUAGAAAUGUAGAAAACUGGGAAAAAUAUAAAACCAUAAGAACUGAAGUUAAAAAGAAAGUGAAUGAAGUUUAAUGUAAGGAUUAUGAUGGGCUUUACCAUAAAUUAGGCAUUAAAGAGGGAGAAAAAGGAAUAUAUAAACUAGCAAAGAUGAGAGAAAAGAAAGGCAGAGAUUUAAAC